ACGGUGCGCAGACGCAGCCUAUCUCGCGAACGUUCACUAGUGGUGUUGCGGCGGCUUACAUGCACACACGUGCUUUAAAAAAAGUAAAAAAAAGUUUAAAAAAUACUACGUCCAGUACGUUUGAAAAAAAGUGGGCUUUGGAAAUCGCAUCUAUAAUAAUACGUCAACGGAAAACUAUAUGUACGUAGUUACAAUUUUUUAUGGCUAAUAACCGAUUGGUGACAUGUAAAUUCACCAUAGAAAAAACAAAAGAUAAUUUUCACUUUAAUUUAUUAAGCCUACUUCUGUAAUUUUUUUUAUUAAACUUAUCAACUGCUUGGUGUUUCAUUUCGACAAACCCAAUAUAACUUAAAAUAUGUAUAAGUAUGUACCACUUAUUUUUAUAACAAACACCAGGUGUACAAUUUAAAUGUUUUUCUUUGAAAGCUAUUUGUAACCACUUGCUUUUAUUUAUAAAAAACUGCUCGAAUAUGAGUACAAUAGAAACGUGAUUCAAAACAACAAAACAGUAUAAAAAAAUAUCUUACAAAUACUUUUCUAUAAAUAUAAAUAACAUUUGUAGCACGAAAAAAUAAAAUAGGAAAUUUUCAAUGAGUGGCGAUAAAUUAAAACACGACCGAAGGGAUUGUUUUAAAUCGACACGAGUUGCGAAUUACCUAUUCGCACAUGUAUCGUACAACGUUUUACAGUACAUAUGGCUCUUUAUAUUUUCGACAUAGUUACGUAAUGUGAUAAUUAUCGCACUAGUGCGGUAAAGUAGCACCAUAUGUACUGUAAAAAUACAUAUUCCAUUUUCUGAAUGAAAGUUUUGUUUCCUGUAAAGUUUUCCUGAAACUUCCGAGUACUUCUCCAACUAGUUGGAAACUUUCCAUAACUUGCGUUUUAUCACCAAGUAAACCCCACAUAAUAAGUCCAAACAAACGAACGCGUUAAACAUAAGUACAUGUGAGAAUAUCAUUGAAUAGUCGGUACACAUCAGAUAGCGAGCAAACAAUACUUUUGUUAUGCUCUUACAAGGUUAUCGUUGUUAUUUUUCCAUUUUAAUAGUGGUGUACAAAUAAAAACUGUACCUGCCUGUGCCUGACAGUAAUUAAAACAUUCUUUUUCUUUUUUUAUAUUUUUAAUAUACAUAUUUUAUACGCAGUAUGCCAGACAGUCAAAACAUAAGUAACUUUGAUAAAUGACACUAUUUAUUGCUAGUAUGAAUAACAAUACGUAAGUAUCCGAUCCGUCAUUUAUUUUGUUAAUAACAUACAUGAUAAGUUAAAGACAUUGUUUUUGUCAAAAAGUUAAGUAACAAUUGUAAAAACUUUUGACAACUACUUAGUUGUGUAACAAAAAGUACCGUGUAAAUGUGUGUCACAAAAACUUCCUAAAAAACGACCGCCAUAAAGAUAUAGCAAAAACUAUUACAAAAGAAACACAAUUAGUUUUUGGCAUGCAAUUAGAGUACCGUGGGUAAAAGUAGGUCGCAUUUACAUUACAAUUAUUAAACAGUGGACGAGUGCAAAAACAUCUACAAAAAGUUUUUAAGUGGUUAAGCUAAUAUAGAACUUAAUUUGUCUAUGCCUGUUAUACAUAUUUGAAAACCUCUUAUCUUAUUUUUUUAUAUAUUACGCUAAAUAAAUUACACUUCACUACUCGGUGAUGUUAAACCCAAUGGGUAAUGUCUAAAAUUGGUGAAUUCUUACGUCGGUGACUUCAUUAGUUAUUUGAUUAAUAAUUAGUUAAUAACGUGAGCCUUAGUAAUGUCUCGAAAAUACAUAGCUGUAAUAAAACAUGUUAUUAUUAAGAGGAAAGGGGAUGGCCGCUUCUAUACAUACGUAGUCUCCAUUUUCCUCUCUGGAUAUUGACAAUGAAUGAAAUGAAUACAUAAUUUGAUGUAUAUUAAUCAUAGGUGUUUUUAAAUGCUCCUAACUUUUACAAUAAUUAAAAAUUCGAAAAAAUUAAACAUAUUAGCUGUGGCUGAUAUACAACAAAUAUUUUCAAUAAUGUUAAAUAUCCAGAGAGGAAAAUGAGGACUACGUUUGUGUGAAAAGGCGAUUUCGUGCGGGUCCUCCACUUUCAUCUUAAGAAAUGUGUAUUAGUUUAAUGAAAUAAAAGGUAAGCUGCAUUUACUUAGAGCUUAUAUCAGGUGAACUUUUCACCAAACAACUUUUCAUGCAACAACAUAUACAAAUGUCUGUUUGACCCAAUGGUUGACUGGUAGAGAAUGCCUUUUGGCAUUAAGUCCGUCAUUUGUACAUUUUUCUUUAUUUGUGCAAUAAAGUUUAAAUAAAUAAAUAAA